rnacentral:rRNA from 1 species
ACACGUCUACAUUAGAUACCCGUGUAGUCCCAGCCGUAAACUAUGCGCGUUAGGUGUAUCGGUGACCACGAGUCACCGAGGUGCCGAAGGGAAACCGUGAAACGUGCCGCCUGGGAAGUACGGUCGCAAGGCUGAAACUUAAAGGAAUUGGCGGGGAGCACCACAACGGGUGGAGCCUGCGGUUUAAUUGGGCUCAACGCCGGGAAGCUCACCGGAUAAGACAGCGGAAUGAUUGCCGGGCUGAAGACUCUGCAUGACUAGCUG